CAUAGGUAGCAAUCCAUUCUAGAAUUCUUCUCAUUACCUCCCAUGGAAAAAAGAUCCCACAAAGAAAAGAAUUGUAUAGUACGAAAUAACAUAAAAACUUAUUUUUUUUAAGAAAAAAACAAAAGAUAUGAAUCCUUUAUUCCAAUAGUUCCUUUUUUACAAGAAUCGAUAAGAAAUAAGAAAUAUUUCAAGGCGAUUUGAUUCCAUUCUAAUGUAGUAGUAUAGGAACUAUUCCAAUUUCGUUGAAGUUACAAAUUCGAAGAACUCGAGAAAUUUUGAUUGAAUCAUGAUACAAAUUACAUAGAAGAAAAAAGACCGGAUAAUCAUUCUAAGAUGAAAAUAGAAUAACUG
rnacentral:lncRNA from 1 species